rnacentral:rRNA from 1 species
GUAGGUGGCAAGCGUUGUCCGGAAUUAUUGGGCGUAAAGCGCGCGCAGGCGGUUCUUUAAGUCUGAUGUGAAAGCCCACGGCUCAACCGUGGAGGGUCAUUGGAAACUGGAGAACUUGAGUACAGAAGAGGUAAGCGGAAUUCCACGUGUAGCGGUGAAAUGCGUAGAGAUGUGGAGGAACACCAGUGGCGAAGGCGGCUUUCUGGUCUGUAACUGACGCUGAGGCGCGAAAGCGUGGGGAGCAAACAGGAUUAGAUACCCUGGUAGUCCACGCCGUAAACGAUGAGUGCUAAGUGUUAGGGGGGUUUUCCGCCCCCCUUAGUGCUGCAGCUAACGCAUUAAGCACUCCGCCUGGGAGUACGGCCGCAAGGCUG